rnacentral:rRNA from 1 species
CUGCAUGAAGUCGGAAUUGCUAGUAAUCGCGGAUCAGCAUGCCGCGGUGAAUACGUUCCCGGGCCUUGUACGCACCGCCCGUCACACCAUGGGAGCCGGUAAUACCCGAAGUCACGUAGUCCAACCUCGUGAGGACGCUGCCGAAGGUAGGAUUGGCGACUGGGGUGAAGUCGUAACAAGGUAUC